AUAGCCAACUCCUGUAGGGAAAAGGUUCACAAGGCUAAAGCGCAAAAUGAGCUCAGGCUUGCCAGAGACAUUAAAAACAAUAAAAAGGGCUUCUUUGCUUACGUUGGUAGGAAAAGGAAGAACAAGGAGGUGAUAGAGCUUCUGCGAGGAGAAGAUGGGGAAAUUCUGACAGGGGAUAGGAAAAAGGCAGAACUAUUUAAUUCCUUCUUUGCCUCAGUCUUCUCACAAAAAGAAAGCCAGCCUCAACCUCAGCAACAUGGAGUGGAUGAAGGAUUGGGGGAAAUCCAACCCCAAAUAGGGAAAGAAGUUGUCCGGGAAUACCUGGCUGCUCUAUAUGAAUUCAAGCCUCCAGGGCCAGAUCAACUACACCCAAGAGUAUUGAAGGAACUAGCGGAAGUUAUUUCGGAACCACUAGCAAUCAUUUUUGAGAGUUCUUGGAGAACGGGAGAAGUCCCAGAAGAUUGGAGGAGGGCGAAUGUUGUCCCUGUCUUCAAGAGGGGAAAAAAGGACGACCCAAACAAUUACCGUCUGGUUAGCCUCACGUCAAUACCAGGCAAGAUUCUGGAAAAGAUAAUUAAGGAAGUGGUCUGCAAACACUUAGAAACAAAUCCGUGUUGACUAUUAGCAAUGACUGCAUUUGUUUCUAAGUGUUUGCAGACCAUUUCCAGAAUUUUGCCUGGUAUCGACAUGAGGCUGACCAGACAGUAAUUGUUUUGGUCGUUCUUUUUUCAAUUCUUGAAGAUAGGGACCACAUUCGCCCUCCUCCAAUCUGCUGGGACUUCUCCCAUUCUCCAAGAACUCUCGAAGAUGAUUGCCAGUGGUUCUGAAAUAACUUCAGCUAGUUCCUUCAAUACUCUUGGAUGUAGUUGAUCUGGUCCUGGGGACUUGAAUUCGUUUAGAGUGGCCAGGUGUUCCUGGACAACUUGUUUCCCUAUUUGGGGUUGGAUUUCCCCUAAUCCUUCGUCCAUUCCAUGUUGCUGGGGUUGAAGAUGGCUUUCUUUUUGUGAGAAGACCAAGACAAAGAAGGCAUUAAGUAGUUGUGCCUUUCCCCUGUCCCUUGUCACCAUCAAGUCAUCUUCUCCUCGCAGAGGCCCUAUUGCCUCCUUGUUCUUCCUUUUUCUACCAAGGUGUGGAGAAGUCAUAGUUAUUAUGUUUAAUUUUAACUGUUAAAAUAUGUAUUUGUGUUUAGUUGACACAGUAGCUGAAACAGAAGCCAUCUUGUUUCAAUCCACAGUAGUGCUGUUACCAAGGAGACGGAGCUGGCUAGCUCACCAGAGGGAAAAGUGGGCGGAGCCACGAAAAGAAAAAAAUGGUAGUUUUUAAAAGAAGCCAGGGAGUGCGUGGCUGGAGGCUUUGCAGUCAAGAAGGGCUGAGGAGACAGGCCUGGCCAAAAUCUUUAGUCAAGGCAGACAAAAGGGAGCCUAGUCAAGAUCUCUAGUUGGGAAGGACUAGUGAUCAGGAAUUUAAUCCGUAGUAGAUCAAAUUAAAGGCCUUUACUGUAGUUGGGACAUUGUUCACUAAGGAGCUCAGCUGAGGUUAGAGUUCGCUACAAUUUAUAUCAUCAGUAGGAGAGUGAGAGUGGAAGUACACAAGAGACUACUGUUGUGGUGGUUAUAAGAGUUAUUAAACCACUUGUUUAUCUAAAGUUCCAUAAGUAAAUCAGUCAACCUGCAACCAUAAGCUUUGUACGCAAUAAACUUGUUGUUCUUUGUUAACAACUGACUCAUUUCAUCUCAUCUGCAUCUGUGGAGCCAAAUUUCAUCGGUGAUAAUUCAAAAGCCUCACGUUGGUGGCAGUUACCUUAAUAAAUCACCUAAUUGGGGAAGAGUAAUAGUCACAGUUACCUCAGAAAGGGAACAACAACACAGAAAUCCCUAACUACAGAGACAGAGGCUGGGAUCUUGAAAUAAAGAUCACCCCCUGUAAUCCUUCCGCUCAUAUAAAGGUGAUAAUCUAGAGGGAUUAAAAGAUUCAAAAAUCCCCUCAGCAGUGGAAACAGCAUUUAUAAUUUGCUUUGACACCAUUACAAUUGGCUUCAGUCUUCCCAAUUGGCUUUAGCUCCAUCGCACAAGGUAAGCAAAGAAGCCUUUUUUGUUGUUUUUAAUGUCCCUGGCAAACCUGAGCUCAUUUUGCGCUUUAGGCUUGUGAACAUUUUUUUGUUGGCACUGUUUGCAUUUGUGCCUUGAGUAUUUCACUUUUAAAAAACUCCCAUCCAUCCUUAACUCCCUUGUCUUUUAAUAUUGGCAUCCAUGGAAUGCCCCUCAGUAUUUCCUUCAUUUUCUGGAAGUAUUCUUAAAGUCCAGAAUACGUGUUUGACUUGUCUUACUUUCAGCCUUCCUUUGUAUAGCAAACUGCAGGAGCACAUGGUCACUUACCCCUAAGGAUCCACCACUUUGACUGUAUUGAUCAGGUCUUCCACAUUUGUUAAGAUUAGAUCAAGAGUAGCAGACCCCCUUGUUGUUUCUUCUACCUUCUGGACCAUAAAGUUGUCUGUAAGGCAAGUCACUGUCACUUUAUUCAGAGAAUGAAAUGGUUUCUUAUUUGUAUUACUGAAGAUAUAGUACUCAUAUUAACCUAUAGAUAAGUCAAUUCAAUUUAUUUGGGCUGAUUUUUAACAAAAAUAUAUAGACUUUUGCAUGAUUCUCUAGGGCACUUA
rnacentral:lncRNA from 1 species